CCAGACUCCUACGGGAGGCAGCAGUGGGGGAUAUUGCACAAUGGGGGAAACCCUGAUGCAGCGACGCCGCGUGUGGGAAGACGGUCUUCUGGAUUGUAAACCACUGUCCCCAGGGACGAAAAUGACGGUACCUGGGGAGGAAGCUCCGGCUAACUACGUGCCAGCAGCCGCGGUAAUACGUAGGUGGCAAGCGUUGUCCGGAUUUACUGGGUGUAAAGGGCGUGUAGCCGGGUUGACAAGUCAGAUGUGAAAUCCUGCGGCUUAACCGCAGAACUGCAUUUGAAACUGUUGAUCUUGAGUACUGGAGAGGCAGACGGAAUUCCUAGUGUAGCGGUGAAAUGCGUAGAUAUUAGGAGGAACACCAGUGGCGAAGGCGGUCUGCUGGACAGCAACUGACGGUGAGGCGCGAAAGCGUGGGGAGCAAACAGGAUUAGAUACCCCGGUA
rnacentral:rRNA from 1 species